rnacentral:rRNA from 1 species
AUUGAACGCUGGCGGCAGGCCUAACACAUGCAAGUCGAACGAGUGGCGGACGGGUGAGUAAUGUCUGGGAAACUGCCUGCUGGAGGGGGAUAACUACUGGAAACGGUAGCUGAUACCGCAUACCAUCAGAUGUGCCUAGGUGGGAUUAGCUUGUUGGUGGGGUAACGGCGCACCAAGGCGACGAUCCCUAGCUGGUCUGAGAGGAUGACCAGCCACACUGGCACAGAGAGACGGGCCAGACGCCUACGGGAGGCAGCAGUGGGGAAUAGUGCACAAUGGGCGCAAGCCUGAUGCAGCCAUGCCGCGUGGAUGAAGAAGGCCUGCGGGUUGUAAAGUACUUUCAGCGGGGAGGCGUUACCCGCAGAAGAAGCACCGGCUAACUCCGUGCCAGCAGCCGCGGUAAUUC